GAGAGAAGGGAGGGGGUAGCCCUUGAGGCGCGCGCGCGCGCGCCGGGCUCGAGCCGGCGGCAUCUCCCCUCCCCUCAGUCCUGCUCGGCAGCCGCCGCGGCAGCAGCAGCAGCCGCCCGGGUAGCGGUGCCGCCGCCGCCUCUUCUUCUUCCUCCUCCUCCUCGUUCUCCCCGGGGCACGAUGCAGUUUAUGUUGCUUUUUAGUCGCCAGGGGAAACUGAGACUCCAGAAGUGGUAUGUCCCAUUAUCUGACAAAGAAAAGAAGAAAAUCACAAGGGAACUUGUUCAAACAGUAUUAGCCCGCAAACCGAAAAUGUGCAGCUUCCUGGAAUGGAGAGACCUGAAGAUUGUCUACAAAAGAUACGCAAGCCUCUAUUUCUGCUGUGCUAUUGAAGAUCAGGACAAUGAACUAAUAACUCUGGAAAUAAUUCAUCGUUAUGUAGAACUUCUUGACAAGUAUUUUGGCAGUGUAUGUGAACUCGAUAUCAUCUUCAAUUUUGAAAAAGCCUAUUUCAUUCUGGAUGAGUUCCUUUUAGGAGGGGAAGUUCAAGAGACUUCCAAGAAAAAUGUUCUCAAAGCCAUUGAACAGGCAGAUCUCUUACAGGAGAGCCAGAAUGAAGACUGGGGAGGUUUGUCUGAGGAUAUCUUAUGAUUAAGAGCAAUCUAAGGCAUUAGCCCGUUUGACCCCCAUCUAAAUGAUUGGAUGCUAAAGAAGCAGAGACCCCACGUAGUGUACUUGAAGAAAUUGGAUUGACAUAAAUCUUCGCUUCAGCUGAUGACAUCUCAGUGUUUCAUACUGUAAAUGUUCACUGCCUUCAUUGUAAUGUUUAGCUAAUGGUGUAAGAUGCUGUUUGUCAGUAUUACUGUUUUGCUAAGCUGCUUCAUUCAGGCCUACAAGAAAAAUGCUCCUUUGAAAAGGGAACAAGAAACUAAAGUCCAAAAAUCAUAAAUGAAAGGGAAUUAGAUUUGAAUUGACUCAGUGUCUCCCUUCACUGCAUUUAUAUGAAAAUUGCAUUUGACUUUAAGUGUACUGUUUUUUAUAAGCAAACUUGACUUCAGGAAAUAAAUGUAUCAUGAUGACAUAGCAUAUCUAAAUGAAAAGAGACUACAUGGACAACUCCAAAUGUUAUGGUGUAGAAAUUGUGUUCAUGCAACCAAAGACUUUUGUUCAUCUACAUUUUAGUCACCACUUGUGAUGAUAAUUCUGCUUAUUUCAGUUGAUGCAUAAAGAUUGGAAAUACCUGUUUACUACUGAAUUUGUCAUUAUACCAAAGAAUCCUGUUAGGAUCUGCAUAUCAAACUGGUAAGAACUGUUAAGGUGAUACUGCUUUUUGCAAAGAAACUGCAAACUGAUAAACUCAUUAGAAAUGAAGGUGUAUUUAAGUGUAGCUACCUUGGGAAAAACUGUGCAAGUUACUAUCCUAAAAAGGGAAUGCAUGUAGUUUAAAAAAAAAAAAAAGAAAAAAAUUCAAACAAGGAAACUAUUUUCAGGUUUGAUAUUGGUUUGCUCUGAACAUAAACACAAGAAAGGAGGUAGGCUUUCUGACUGCAUAGAGAGGUGCAUAAGGAAAAUUGGGUACUUCUGAAGAUGGGAAAGAAGGAGCUUUACAAAAGGGACUUUUUAUUAUUUUCUUUCAAACUCUACAAAUUAAUUUUUAUUUAUUGGUGUCUUAUAGUUAUGCUUUAAUGGGUGUAUAGGUACCUUUAAAAACCCCCACACUAAGUGUCAAUGUAAUUUUAUCUGCUUUUCUUGACUUACAUUUAAUAUGUGACACAUCCCUUAUGAAACUCCUGCGUGAUGUACAGUUGAACUAACUAAUUUGCAGUGAGAGCUUUUAAAUAUUAGAUUUCUAUAGUAGAUUCACUGCAAAUCACGUAAAGUGGUAUCAAGGAAUAUUUUGACACUUCUAGCGGACUUUCAGUAAUUAUAAGCUAAACCCGUUUCACUUGAGGAAGUUCAAUUUGUGUGUGCUUUUGAGGAGUAGUGCCACACUUUGGAGUAGCCAAGUUCUGCUGGGUGCCUGCACGGUCCCUGAGGAGGGGAGGCUGUUCCCUUCCCUUGUCCCCAGUCACCUCGCCCCAGGAGUCAGUGCUUUGGCUUGUUCACUUGAGUAAGUCGUGCCACGUUUUCACAAAACUUAGCUUUGGCGUUGUUGCUGGAAGCAGUCGUGCACUGCUAGCGUAAGCAUUUACACAGCCAUCUGGAGAGCUAGACUGUGGGCUUGAUGCCAUCUAGGUUAAAUUUAACCCACUGGGAAAGGCUCAGCGUUGACACUUGCAGGUCCCCUGAUCCAGAUCCUGGUAUAAAUGCUCGUGGCAGCAGAAGGGCCGGCUGGGGCAGGUCUGUGUGCUUCUGUGGCUGUGCCAGGCUGGGGCUGGGCAACUUGCUGGGUUAGAGUUUGUCUGCUUAGGCCCCUUCUGGGAUUUAAAUGUGCCAGAUUGCUAGAGAGCACUUUCAUCCUAGGGCACAUGGAAGGAGUGGUUCCUAUCUCCCCAGUGCACGAUGUGCAGGGAUAGAUGAGGAUAAAGUGGUAGCAGAAUUGACCCUGUGUGCAAGAUUGAAGUGGUAAAAUUACCUUAAUUCAAACCCGAAGCAAUUUUGUAUGUAUUAAACAUGUUUUUAAAGUUUACACUGUCACUUGUAUGUGCUUGGCUGGAUUAAGCUUUGUUGUGAUUGUGACAAAUAAACUAUUUGACCUCUGUCUGUCACAUUGGUUUAGUUGUAAUAAAUGUCUGUUUUUACACCA